rnacentral:rRNA from 1 species
AACGAACGCUGGCGGCAUGCCUAACACAUGCAAGUCGAACGGCUGUAGCAAUACAGCAGUGGCGCACGGGAUAGUAACGCGUGGGAAUUUGCCUCAUAGUUCGGAACAACACCGGGAAACUGGUGCUAAUACCGGAUACGCCCUUCGGGGGAAGGAUUUAUCGCUAUGAGAGAAGCCCGCGUUGGAUUAGCUAGUUGGUGGGGUAAUGGCCUACCAAGGCGACGAUCCAUAGCUGGUCUGAGAGGACGAUCAGCAUCACUGGGACUGAGACACGGCCCAGACUCCUACGGGAGGCAGCAGUGGGGAGUAUUGGACAAUGGGGGAAACCCUGAUCCAGCAAUGCCGCGUGGGUGAUGAAGGUCUUCGGAUUGUAAAGCCCUUUUGGCGGGGACGAUGAUGACGGUACCCGCAGAAUAAGCUCCGGCUAACUUCGUGCCAGCAGCCGCCGUAA